GGGUCUACUGGCUCGGGCCCUUCCUCGGCUCCGGCCUCGCUGGGCUCCUCUACGAGUACGUCGUCAUGCCGUCUACCGAGACCGCCGCCCACGCCCACCAGCCGCUCGCGCCGGAGGACUACUAGCCGCCACCGCCGCAGCUGCUGCUUCAAAUCCUUGAAAUCCAACACUUGCAGCUAUGCUUUAUCGCUAUAUAUGUAUGUAUGGCUUUUUGUUUCUAUAUUUAGUGUGUUGGUUAAUAAUGGAGGGUGGCCUUGCUGUGCAUGGUUGCCCCUAUAGUAUCUCCGAGGUGAUGUUUGCUCCGUUUUGUGUAAUAAGUUUCCAGUGCAAUAUAGUAUCUUCAUCUGUUUUUUUCUCUAACACAGUAUGUAAUUUCCCAGUGCAAUAUAAUAUCUGUAUUUUUUUUAACACAGUACAUACGCAAGCGUACACGCACCAUCUCUGGAAGUAGCCGGCAUUUACGAAGUCAGAGCAUCUGAGCCGGCAUUUACGAAGUCAGCAUCUCUGAAAGACUGAGCCGGCAUUUACGAAGUCAUCCGUCGGAACGUCUCUUCCCACUGAAUACGCAUCCCCGAAAAUCUUGAAACAAAUUCAAAAAUAAAUGCGAGCAUCAGGACUUGAACUAUGGGCUGAAUAUGCAUCGCCGAAAAUCCUGAACGUCUCUUUCCACUGAAUACGCAUCGCCGAAAAUCUUGAAAUAAAUUCAGAACGCAUCGCCGAAAAUCUUAAAAUAAAUUCAGAAAUAAAUGCGAGCGUCUUAAAAUAAAUUCAGAAAUAAAUGCGAGCAUAAGAACUCUCUUCCCACUGAAUACGCAUCGCCGAAAAUCUUGAAAUAAAUUCAGGACGCAUCGCCGAAAAUCUUGAAAUAAAUUCAGAAAUAAAUGCGAGCGUCUUGAAAUAAAUUCAGAAAUAAAUGCGAGCAUAAAAACUUGAACUAUGGGCUGAAUACGCAUCGCCGAAAAUUCUAAAUAAAUCUUGAACUAUGGGCUGAAUAUGCAUCGCCGAAAAUCCUGAACAUCUCUUCUCACUGAAUACGCAUCACCGAAAAUUUUAAAAUAAAUUCAGAAAUAAAUGCGAACAUAAGGACUUGAACUAUGGGCUGAAUACGCAUCGCCGAAAAUUCUGAAUAAAUUCAUAAAUAAAUGCGAGCAUCAGGACUCAGAAACUUUGGUGAGCUGGGACAGGUUGGUUCACAAUUUGCCUACUAUACUGCUAGUCCGUUCUUUCUGGGGUCCAUGCACGAUCCAUCAUAUAACGCAUCGCCAAAAUCCUGAAUAAAUCUAUAAAUAAAUGCGAGCAUCAGGACUUAGAAACUUCGAUGAGCUGGGACAGGUUGGUUCGCAAUUUGCCUACUGUACUGCUAGUCCGUUCUUUCUGGGGUCCAUGCACGAUCCAUAACACAAAUUCACCAACAAUUAGACAAUCAAAUUCACCAACAAUUACACAAUGCUAGUUCUUUCUUUCUGGGGUUCAUGCACGAUCCAUCAUAUAGCACAAAUUCAUCAACAAUUGGACAAUGCAACAAAGUAAACGUGCCCCAAGAAAAUACGAUAAUUCAUAGAUAGGUGAUACAGGAAUGAAUUGUUCGGUGCGGCUACACUCUUUUCACGUGUUGAGCUUCUUGUUCUUCGCCUAAAGUCACUUUUUGCCUUCCGGAUCCAAGAGAGUAGCAAUGAUCCUUGAAUCCUCCGAUGAAAUCUUUGCCUUGUUGAGACUUCAGCCCUGUUCGGAGUCCCUCCACUCCACCGCUCUGCUCCGUGAACAGGCGGAGCUACAGUUAAAAAGCACGGAGUUGCAGUCCCUUCACUCUGCAGCUCCUCGUAUUUUAGGAGCAGGUGGGUUACCGAACACUGCCUUCAUGCUUCUCUAAGUCUAUUUUAAUUUGUUGUCUACCCUCUUCUGGUGUCAAUUAAUCCCUGCCUUCACUUUCAAGAAGGGCUUGUGUGAUGUUUUUCUAACAUCAUGUAUACGGGAGUUGCUAUUCUUCAAGUCAUAAUGCAUUGGUUCUUGACUGUCCUUGAUUACGUAUAUUUAUGUCCGCCAUGAUAUCUUCCUAAAAAUGACCCUGAUCACAGAUAAACUAACAUCAUAUAUAACAAAAUUGAUUCAAUGACAUAUGCAACACUAAUACGUAAACUCAAAGUGGGGCAAAAAAUGAACCUUGUCCCAUGUCAUCGACAAAGGACCUAGACAGAUGCAAAAAAUAGAGAAUGGACAUGAAAGAAGGGCAGUCAAUUUGAGAGCCGAAGGACGGACAUGGAAGGAGGCAGACGUGAAAAAUGGAGGACGGACAUUGAAGGAGGCAGUUACGAAAAAUGGAGGACAUACAUGAAAGGAGGGCAGUCGAUUUGAUAUACUAGGUCAAUUUGAGGGAUUUUGGAUGGGUCCGGUCUCUUGAAUACGACGUGACGGACGCGUCCGUGCACAUCUAGGCCUACCCACACCUGUCUCAGAUAUGGGUUAGGCACGUCCGUCACAUCUAGGCCUACCCAUGCCUGUCUCAGGAAUCGGUUGGGUUCGAGGAGUGUCUGACAUUCCGGUUCUAGUUUCACGUUCUCCUUGUGUUUCUACAAAACUCUAGUUUCAUUUUGUGCUCCCUUUGACAUGAUAUGCGAGCCCACCUCACAUUAGAGGCUGGAUAAUUUUAAUUGCAGCAACAUAUCAUGUAUUUUUAGUUAUAAUAUCAAUCCAAAUUAGGGACUCCAUGGGCAUGGAGCCACCCACCCUUGGGCGUCGUGAACACCUUCACUUGCCCACGACCGGCGCUGCGUUGUUGUUAUUAGCCUUUCGGCUUGUAUCGUAUUGUCUUCUUUUUUAGUUCUUUGAACCUCGGUUUUGUUGUCGGCUUCUGUACUGUUUAACUGCCUCAGUUAAAGCCAGGCAAGUGCCUCCGCUCUAAAAAGAUAAUAUUAAUCAAAAUAAUCAUAUUCCAUACAACCAAAUAUCGCUUAAUGUGUUGCAACCAAUUUCCGCAAAAACUCCUGAGGUAUCAUGAAGUUUCUUCUGACCGAGUGUACUAAUUGUUUGCAUCUCGUGGUACGAAUUACGCCUGAUAUGAACUACUCCACGAGUCCUUGUCCUAUAGAGGAGAUACUAAUAGGUAGAUGAUAGUUACAAGUGAAGAUGUUCAAAUAUGGUUUUGGGGAAUCAGAUCUUUUCUUCAUAUUUGAUUUCACAUACAUGAUUUCUUUUCAUAGGGAGUUGUUGUGUGCAUAUAUGUUGUGAGCUGUAUGUAGAAACUAAUUAACAUUCAUUAACACAGGCGUUUCUCUCUUCCAAGUAGUCCAGUCCAGAAGCAUGAUCAGGGAGGCCAUCGUAACAGUGUGGGCCGACAUGUUUGCCCACCAAGAUCGAAUAUUUCUUCCGUUGGCCCAUACAGACAAAUGUAAAGUCCUUAACCCUAGCCAAUCAUUGAUCAUUCUUCAGAUCCUUGAAGUGAAGCGGCCGCCAGAAAAUGGAAACCAUAUACGCCGCUCUCUGCGGCAAGUUGCCGCUGCUUCGCACAAAGAGCAAGCGAGCAAACCAUAGGUGGGUGCAAGGGAGAUCCCUUUGGGAACCUUUUGGAAGGUUCCUGAAUAGAAUUUUGGGUUUUCUAUUUCCGUUUUCUCUUUAUUGGUAUUUUUCCAGAAGUUUUAAAAUAGUUCAGAAAUUUCAAAUUUUGUUUGAAGUUUUAAAAAAUAUUCAAAAAUAGAAAAAUGUUGAAAUUGAAAAUAAAAUUGUGUUUCAGAAAAAUGUUCUCCUUUUCCAAACAAUGUGUGGAAUUUCAGAAAAUUGUUCAUAGUUCAGAAAAUCAAGUUUUAUAAAAAAUAUUCAUACAAAAAAGGAACAAAAAUUGUAAAUGUGUUAUUUAAAAAAGUGUCGAACGUUUCUUUUAAUAUGAGGUUAAGAAAAACAGGAAAAAAACAAAAAUUAAAAAUACCAAAGAUAGUAAAGAGAAAAGCAGCACACUCUGUUCAUCGUUGAUGGCUGGCCCAGUUGGUCGCAGCCUAUGCAAAAGGUCGAAUGUUUGAUGUGGUCAUCAUCAAAUAUGCGAAAUCACUACUUAAGUUGUACCCCUUCUCCGGUUUGAAAAAUGGCACACUGCAUGUGCAUCACUUGUCACAACCUGGGAGUUUACCUUUUUCCGUAGACUCAUUUUUCCAAAACAUUUUAUGUCUGGAACUAUGCAUCCAAAUACUGAACCGUUUUCGCUGUUGGUUUUUUCACGUUAAGAUCUUCAAAAUUAGAUCCAUGUUAAUAGGUUUCGACGAACAUUUUUUCAUGAAAAAACCAUAAAACAAAAAAUGGGAAAGGAACAAAAACCAAAAACAAUGAAUACCCUUUAAAUAACGAUUCACGCAAAAAAAAGAAUACCAAAAAAUGAAAGUAAUAAACUAGGGCACAAAAGCAUGGUUGCGGUUUUUUUUUCUUUUUUCUUUGGUAGCGCAGGCUGUGUUUUCCCUUUUUUCUUUGGAGGCACAGGUUGUGAUUUCCCCUUUUUCGAGAAGCAUAGUUGUGCUUCUAGUGAAAGCAAAUCUGUGCUUUUACGUGAAGUAAAUUAUGCUUCUCGUGAAAGCACAUAUAUUUUUCCCCAAGAAGCACAGGAAAUCUGUGCUUACACGAGAAGCAAAUAUGUGUUUCCUGUGAAAGCAUAGUUUUUUUUUAAGAAGCACAACUGUGCAUAUAGCAAAAGCAAAUUUGUGCUUCUCGCGGAAGCAUAUCUAUGUUACCACACGAAACAAAUAUGUGCUUCUUGUGGAUGCAUAUUUUUUUCCAUGCAAAAAAAAUCCAUGCCAAGAAAAACUAGGCGAAGACCGAAAAUUUGAAAAAACAGAAUAAACUGUUUGAAACCAAAAAACGCGUACAGUGAAAUAAAAAAAGAAAUCCAAAGAUAGCGCCAGGGCACAUAAAGUGACCGUUGGAGGUCCCACAUAAAGAUAACCCUUGCUUAGUUAUUCCCAUACAAUAUCACUUCGCCAGAAAAGAGACGCACGCGUCUCAUUUGCUGUCUUGCAUAGGGAAUAGAGCCCGCAAUUAACUAGGAGAUCAUGGACAUGGCCUGAAAGUCCUGCCCUUUAAUAGCUGGCUUAAACCCCCAAUCCAAAGUUUCAUGACGGAACUGCACGCUUAAAAUAAAUUAUUGGCCACUGCUACGGAUCAACUGACUGAUUUUUUUAGCCAGCCGUUCGAUCCAUCCCCUUAUAGCCAUUGGAUGGGUCAACGCGUCGCCGCAUUGGGAAGCAAUGCCGCAUGCUCGCAGCAUGUAGCGACCAGACCUCAAAUGGUCUGUGCUGCUGUGCAUCAGUGUCAUCCCUGGAUCAGUAAUGCUGACACACAGUACAAAUGGAGGAUUUAUAUCACAUUAGCAAUCACACACUUAUUACAUCGAAUAUCUCCAAAGAGAUAAGUAUGAAAACAUGGCUUAAGGCCAUCUAAUAACGAUAACAGCGGAAGACUUGGAAGAUAAGUGAGUCCAUCAACUCCAGCGGCAUCACUGAGUAUAAGACCACGACCUAAGGCACCUUACUCGUCGUCUGAAAAGUCUGCAACAUGAAACGUUGCAGCCCGAAAACGGGUCAGCACAUAGAAUAUGCUGGCAAAGUAACACAUAGAGAGCAAUGAACAAUAAUAAUGCUAUACUAUAUGCAUAUAUGGCUGGUGGAAAGCUCUAUGGUUACAGUUUUUGCGAAAAGCCAAUUUUAUCCUACUGCAAAGGAAUAAAUUUUAUUUAACUAUCAUGGUGGUUGAAACAUUGAGAAGGUACCUCCAACUCAAUCCCAAUUAAGUAACAUCAUUAACCCAACAAAAUUAAUUAUAAGUAUCACGGUGAUGAGAAUUCAAAUGAUAAUCCAGGUACUAGAUACUCAAGUUGUCCAUAACCGGGGACACGGCUAAUCAUGAUCAGUUUGUACACUCUGCAGAGGUUUGUGCACUUUUCCCCACAAGACUCGAUCGCCUCCGCUUGAUUCUCGCACUGCAUGAUGUUUGAGAAACGGAUGACCGAGACACAGUCUUUCAGAAACAAUCACUCUUUACUCUGGAUGGACCGGUACACCUACUUUCCCCUACAUCUGCUAGUCCACCUCUUCAAGAGAUCCUGUAACCUACUCAGCUAUGCUAGAGCCCAUAAUAGCUUGUGGCUGCACACGGAAGUUUCUAGCAUGAAUAAUCUUAUGAUUCCUUUGAGCCUGGGUGGCGGACCUUAUACAUACAGACAACACUGGGUUCUCCAGGUGCCUCAAUCCACCCAGAUGUGAGUUUUAGUUGCCACCUUAAGUUGAACCAUUAUUAAGCAUCUCACAUCUGUCAUGAAUAUCUCUCAAACCCAAUCCACGUCUACGCAUAGCAUGGCAAUAUAAUAGCAACGUAGAAGUAACUCCCAAGGGUUUGAUAAAUAAAACAGGUAAUAGGUACUACCUCAACUACUUCCCAAUACCCACAGUUUAAUUAGAUCCUAAUCAUGCAAGUGUUUGAGGAAAACAGAUCUAAUGCAAUAAAACUGGGUAUGAACGGGGUAUGAUCAAAGUGUUACUUGCCUUGCUGAUGAUCCGCAAAACCUAGCGAGUCGAAGUAACAAGCGGCACACUCCGGGUACUCUAUCGCAAACAAACAAGCAUACAAUCAGUACUCAGCUAAUGCACAGGUAAAACUCGAAUGAAAGAUCCAACCAGAAAGUUCAACUUAAGAACUCCGGUUUGCAAAAAGAAUCAACUCGAAAGAAGCAACGAAAGUCAAACGGCGAAAGAAAGAAACUUCGUUUGCUAAACUGGAUCUAGGUCAAAUUUUACUAUAGCAAAAACUUGUUUGAGUAGGUUAAACGGAAAGAGAAUUUCGAGACGAAACGCUAGGCGCUUGAAUCACCUGAUUCCGAUAAAGGAGCGAGAAGUUAAACAGAUUCGAAGAUUCGAUCAGAAAUCGAAUCUGAGAAAAUAACGAGAAAAUCCGAUGAAAAAGAAAAAACGGACGAACGGUUAAAUAACGGACGUUCGUUAACAGAGAAAAACCGACGAACGCGUUCGUUAAAACGAACGGUUCGGUGAACGCUCGCGAAAUAAGAAAACCGAAAAAAAAA
rnacentral:lncRNA from 1 species